AGUGAACGCUGGCGGUAGGCCUAACACAUGCAAGUCGAACGGCAGCACAGUAAGAGCUUGCUCUUACGGGUGGCGAGUGGCGGACGGGUGAGGAAUACAUCGGAUUCUACUUUUUCGUGGGGGAUAACGUAGGGAAACUUACGCUAAUACCGCAUACGACCUACGGGUGAAAGCAGGGGAUCUUCGGACCUUGCGCGAUUGAAUGAGCCGAUGUCGGAUUAGCUAGUUGGCGGGGUAAAGGCCCACCAAGGCGACGAUCCGUAGCUGGUCUGAGAGGAUGAUCAGCCACACUGGAACUGAGACACGGUCCAGACUCCUACGGGAGGCAGCAGUGGGGAAUAUUGGACAAAGGGCGCAAGCCUGAUCCAGCCAUACCGCGUGGGUGAAGAAGGCCUUCGGGUUGUAAAGCCCUUUUGUUGGGAAAGAAAAGCAGCAGGUUAAUACCCCGCUGUUCUGACGGUACCCAAAGAAUAAGCACCGGCUAACUUCGUG
rnacentral:rRNA from 1 species